rnacentral:snoRNA from 1 species
CCCCUCUCGGGAUCACACCCGGGGAGUUUCCAGUACUCUACCAGGCUCGGCUACGGGAGGGAGAGUCAAGCAGAGGCCCGUCCAUUCCAUUCCUAGCUUGGGCAGUGGCUAGCGAGUGGAAGGCCAUCUGUUACAAGU